rnacentral:lncRNA from 1 species
GAUAAUUGCUAUUAUUUAAAGAAACUGCUUUCUCAAAGAUUGAUUCGACGAUGCAUCUAUAAAAAAGCAGUAGGAGAUACACACACAAAAAACAUAUGACAUAAUAUUACCUAUGCAUAAUGGAUUAAUGUUUUAUUUUAUUAAAAACACAUAUUCAAUUUCACUAUAAUUGAUCGUUAUUGCAAAAGCACUCCUACAAGGUAAAAGAAAUAACUUAUUAACAAUAUCAUUUGCACCCCCCUCAGGGCAGGGGUACCGAUAGUCUACAAGAGCUUUCUUAAUCGUCUCGAUCAAACACUCUUCACUUGUGAGCCCAGAGCAAUCAACAAUGUCAGGUGAUGCUGCAGGGUUAAUAGAAAAUAAAGCCUCUAGCUCAGAUCCUUGGCCAGUUCUACUGGCUGAAAUAAGCAUGUUUUUAGUGUUUGCCACUACAAGCAAAGCCAAAAUGAUGAAAGUAAGACUCUUCGACAUUUUUUAAUUUCUUAAGAGAAUUGCAAACGGCUUAAUUAGAAUUGAAAGAGAUGUGCAAGAAUCAGAAAGGCAUGAGCCUCAAUUUAUCUAAGUGAAUAUUGAAAAACGACUUGCAGUGGCUUUAAUGGAAUUGAAAGAGUCCAUAAAUAAGUAUUAAAUAAAUUACGCUUCAUUUAUUAGCGUUAACUAUUGAUUUUAAUCUCUUGUUGCAUUAUAAAGGUAAUUUCAAUGUACAUUUAAUUAAAUUUAUGAAGAAGACUAGAAGAGAGAAUGGAGCCGGUAUUUAUUUGAGAUGAGUAUUACAUGUUCUUUAGGUUAAAAGGAUUAAAAAAAUCAACAAUAUUUUAUCAUUUAAACGUUUGUGGUGGUUAGAUGUACAUAUGAUAAAAUAGGGACAGUGCAAAGAUCAUUUUCCAUGACAAAAAGAAGUUUGUCCAAGCGAAUGUGAUUGUCUAAGAGCAACUAUACAAUUAUCAACAUUAUCAACAUGCAAAAACACUGAAGAAAAAAAAAAGAAAAAAUGAAAAACAAAAGUGUGUAGCGUAGAAAAAGAAAAUAAAAAGUGUACAACGUAAAAUUAUGAAGAAGACUAGAAGAGAGAAUGGAGCCGGUAUUUAUUUGGCCGCGAACAAAGGUGCAUGUGCAUUUGACUGAUCCACACAUUAUCUUUACCGUCCUGUCCUUGGACUAUUUGAUGCAGUAAGUAGUGGCAACCAAAAGUAAAAUCCCAUGAAAAUUGCUGCUUGCAAGGGAGAAUAAAAUGAAGGAUCAUCCAACUUAUGCAGUUGUUGUAUAUUACAUACUCGCUUUACAACUUGAACAGUUGGUGAUUUUGGUGUUUUCUAAAUAAUUUUUGACAAUUUAUUUUUAAUGCUGAAAAAUAAGAAAAUUUGUAAAUAACUAACAUAAAAAUAUUUGAAUGAGAAAAAUAUUAUAAUUUAAAUCAUAUUAAAAAACUAUAAAAUAAUCAUAUCCAACUCUUUUAGUUAAAUACCAAUAUAUUAAUUGGAUGUUACAAUUUGAUUUCGCACAUCUCUAAUUUUAUUUAACCUUUUUCACUUACUAAUUUAUUCGUUUUCACUUCUCAAUCCACUAGCUUUGUCUUUGAUGUUCCUAUUAAAUUCCUUAAAUACUAAUAUAUUGGGUUAGAAUGUAAGUAAAUUCAUUUCCUAUUGGAUAAGUUCACAUUUUCGUUUUAUUUUCUACUAUUUAGGUUCAGUAAUUUCAACUAAUUAUUCCAUCAUUUUUGUGUUGAUUAUUUCCAUUAACUUUGUAAGAUUCCAAUUAUAUAGGUUAGAUACUAAAUUUUUACUUUUUAUAAAUUUAGUUUUGUUAGAUUAGUAACUUAUUUUGGUUAAACUUAUAGGUUCGUAUAUUCACUUUUUAGUUCACUAUUUCCGUGUUUUACAUUCCUACUAAUGUCGUUAAAUACCAAUAUUUUGAGUUAGAUUCUAAACAACUUUCAUUUCUAUGAGAUGAGUUCAUAAUUUUAGUUAAACUUCAUUUCAUGUGGGUUUAUAUAUUUCAACUAUUAUUCCACUAAUUUUGUAUUGUUUAUUCUCAUUAAUUUAGUAAGAUUUCAAUUAUUUGGGUUAAAAAUAACAAUUAUAUUUUCUUAGACUAGUCGUUAAUUUUGCUUAAGCUUUUUCACUUAUGGGUCCCCACGUUUCAAGUUAUUAGUCCAUCAAUUUUGUAUUUGAUAUUCGUACCAAAUUCGAUACCAAUAUUUUAAGUUAUAUUCCAACUUUUAGUUUUCAUUUAAAGAUUUCCUAAUUUUGCUUAAAUUUUCUCUCUUACGGGCUCUUGUCUCAACUAAUUAUUUCAUUUGUGUUGAAUAUUCAUAGUAACUUAGUAAAAUUUCAAUUAUUUGAAAUAAAUACUAGCUUUAAUUUUUAUAAUUUUGUUUUUGUUAGAAGAGGCUCUAACUUUGGUUAAACUUUCUCAUUUAUUGGUUCACAUAUUUCAACAUAUUAGUCCUCUAGUUUUGUGUUUGAUAUUCCUACUAUAUUCAUUCAAUACCAAUAUUUUGGUUAGAUUCCAAGUUAAAUUUAUUUCUAUUGGAUGAGUUCCAAAUUUUACUUGAACUUUCUCUCUUAUGGGUUCCAGUUUCAACUACUAAUUUCCAUAUUUUUGUGUUGAAUACUUCGAUUAACUGAACAUGAUUCUAAUUAUUUAGGGUAAGCACCAAAUUUAUUUUUUAUAAUUUUAUUUUUGGUUAAACUGGCCUCUAAUUUUGGUUAAAUUUUCUCACUUAUAGGUCCACAUGCUUCAACUUAAUUAGUAGUUUACCAGUUUUAUGUUUUAUAUUCCUACCACGUUCAUUUAAUACUAAUUUUGGGUUAGAUUCCAAAUAAUAUUCAUUCCCAUUGGAUAAGUUCCUAAUUUUGCUUAAAUUUUCUCCCUUCUAGGUUCAUAUGUUUCAACUAAUUAUUCCACUUUUUUUUUGUCGAAUAUUCCUACUGAUUAGGUAAGGUUGCAAUUAUUUAGGUUAAAUAACAAUUGGACUUUUUUUUUUUUAUUCCCUAAUUUUGGUUAAACCUUCUGACUUCUAGGUUUACAUAUUUCUAACUUAUAAAUCUACCAGCUAUGCGUUUAAUAUGUUCAUAUUAAGUUCAUUAAAUACCAAUACUUUUUUUUAAAUUCUAUGUAAAUUCAUUUCUUAUUGGAUGAGUUUUAAAAUUAGAAUUUGGUUAAUAUUUUAUCCCUUUUUAACUUAUGUGUUUCAACUAUUAUUUCAAUACUUUUGUUUGAGUAUUUCCAAUAACUUGGUAAAAUUUUAACUAUUUGGGUUAAAUGCCAAAUUUACUUUCUAUUGUUUAACUUUUAGUUAAAUUAGCCCCUAAUUUUAGUUAAACAUACUCAAUUAUAGGUUAACUUGUUUUAACUUGUUAACUACUUGUUUCUAUUUAAUAUUUCUAUUAAAAUCCUUAACUACCAAUAUUUUGAGUUAAAUUUCAAGUUGAUAUUAUAAAAUUCCAAGUGAACUUUUAUUACCACAAACAAUGAUUUUAAUAAUGUAAAUUUCAUUUUACUUGCCGAAGCUAAUUUUACAUAGGGUUAAAAUAAGCUAAACAAAUGACACAACAAUUCAAUCUAAUAUUAUUUAAUUACUUCCAAAGUAACAAAAUCAUUUGAUUCAAAUUAUUCUCAAGGAUAUUAUACUAGCAAAAUUAAUAUGUAAAGAUAUAAUUGGGCAAUUUGUUUUGCACAUGUUAUAUAACUGAUUUCAAGUUCUUUUACAAGUAUUUUGUCUCUCACAAUGUGCAUAUCCAACUCAAUAUGUUUAGUUCUUGAGUGAUAGAUUGGAUUCUUGGAUAAUUCAGUGGCACUUGCAUUAUCACACCAAAUUGAUGGAACUAAUGUACAUUGUAUUUCGAUUUCACUGAAUAAUGAUUGCAACCAAGUUAAUUUUGCAAGUGCUCUAUAUUCACUUUCUGCACUGGACCUUGCUACCAUAGAUUGCUUGUUUGAUGACCAUGUAUUAAAUUGUUUCCCAAGUACACGUAGUAAACUCCAAUGGAUUUUUUGUCAUCCAAAUCACAUGCCUACUCUGUAUCUGUGAAUCCAAUUAGUUUCAUCCAUAUCUUCUAGUUCCUUUAAGUACCUUAACACUCGUUUACAAGCCAUUAGAUGUUGAAGUGUAGGAGCAGCCAUAUACUAAUUUAGCUUAUGCAUUGUAAAUGAUAUCUCUGGUGUGGUUAAGAUGAGUAUUGUUGGCCAUUAACUAUGCUUUUGUAGGUAGAUACAUCUUCAAUAUAUAGACCAAAUGGUCCUAUUACUUCUAAUAAAAUACAGAGUGAAGUUUACUACUCUAACAUAUCUAGAGUGAUAUUCAAUAUAUUCCCUAAGAAUGACUUUGCUAUUCUUUCCUAUUUGCUAGUGACUUUGCCCGUGUUGCGUUUUAAUAAAUUUUAAUCCAACAUUUAGAAGUAUCAACUAUGUAUGAGUGAUCCAUUUCUUCUUUUUAUUAAAACACAGCUUCGAUUUCACUGCAAUUGAUCGGUAAUGCAAAAAACUCUCAUACAAGAUAUACUUUCUUUUUCAUGUACUUAUAAUAUUGUAAACUGAUUAUUUAAUGAAAAAUUCAAGAUUCCCGAAUCAAAAAAUUAUUCCUAAGUAGGUGAUUGGUUAUGUAUGUUUACUUAGAAUGACAGUGACUUGCUUCUAUUUAAUUAGUGGUGGAUUGAGGAAUAAACUUUUCCAAAACAUGCGCUCUGUCAUUUUAUUUAAGUAUUUCAUUUUAUGUUUAUUUGCGUGUUUAAUUCUUUUUAUCUAAUAUGUGCUUGUUGGUAGCCAAAUAUUGAAUUUCAAUAUAAUGUUAAUACAUCAGCAGUCUGAUGUAUUACUUUAAAUUUCAUUAUUUUUCCAUAAUCUGGGCAUCUGACCAUAUUCUUAUGCAUUUGGCAUUAAUCGAAAAUCUACUUGUGCUCCAAAAAGGGGAUGGAAAAAAGUAAAAAUCUAUAUGAAGUUAAGGUAUAUAAGCAAUUAGGGCAAUGGCCACCCCGGUAGUGCCUUAAAAGUGAAGACCCCAAUUAAGUUGAAGGCGCCCUCAUACCGGCUGACUUAAAAUUUACAUAUGCUCUCCGUGUCAUUAUCACCUUGUAAAGAUUGUUGUAAAUGAUCUUAUUCCAAAGUCCUAUGAACUUCAAGCUAUAUAAUGGUAAAGUUUGGGAAUAUAUGUUGAAAAUUAUUGCUAAUAAAUGACAUAAAACAAUCCAUAGUGUAUGAAAAAUCAUACCAGUUGAGUUCUUAGAAAAGACUAAAAGGAUCACAAAUGGUCUUACUUAAAUCUAGAUUUUUCAGGCAUUACUUUUGCUUUAGAAUCUUUCUAAGAGUGCCUAAGUUUACUAGUAAGCUAGCUACACACUUGUCAUGAGUUUAUUGAAACAAAUUUUUUUAAUAACCUGAAUAUAUUACAAUAGUAUGAAGGGAAAUUAUCUCUGCACCACCACUGUUUUGUCAUACAUAUAUCUAACUACCACAAAUUUUUAACUUGUUCUUUCACCACUUUGUUUCUAAAGUUCUUUCAGUCAACUACUUUCACACUAAGAAUUGAAAUAAAAUGACCAUUUUAUUCUUGAAUGAAAUGAAAGACUAUUUUAUCCUACAAAAUUUUUGAAAAUAAAAAAAAUUAUAGUUACGAGAAUACCUCUGAUUUUAAUAGAAAAAAAUCUCAAAAUUUGAGAUGUUAAUUUUUAUAAUUAUAAUUUUUACUCGAUACAUUUUCAAAUUUAUAAUUUUUUAUUAUUCAAAAUUGGUUCAAACUAUUGUUAUUUUGGUGAUUAAUUUAAAAAAUGAAAAUUGUUUGAUAAUUGUGACUGUACGAUUGAUAAAAAAAAAGGAAAAUAUUUAAGAUGAGAAUCACACAUUUUUUAGGUCAAAAGAAUUGAAAAAAUCAAUAAUAUUUUAUCAAUUAAUUAAAUAGUACUUGCAGGUUGAUUUUUUCAAUAAUAUUUUAUCAAUUAAUUAAAUGGUAAUCAUAGUUUUUUAAUUAAAAAUUUUCUUGGGAUAAAAUGGUCUUUUAGAUCACUUAGGGGUAAAAUGGUCAUUUUAUUUAAAUUAUUAUUGUCAAAUUAGUCGAUUAAUACAAGUUUAGAAAUGAUGGUGGUGCAAAGAACAUGUUAAAAUUUUGUGGUGUCUGGAUGUACAUAUGAUAAAACAGAGUUGGUGUAGAGAUAAUUUCUCUAGUAUAGAUCAAUAAGAAAGAGAAGAACAUAAAUUAAACUGAGGCAUGUGCAGUUACAAUGUCCUUAAAAAGGAUUUGUCUUUUUCUCAGUAGUACUUAGGUUAUAUUAGCAACUGUCCCUUAGGAUAUUACAAAGUCAAAUGGUCUCGGCAACAUAACCUCACUACUCUUGCGAACUUCAAACUAGUGUUGGAACUCCAUCACGUGAAGUCUAAGAUAGAAAGAUUUUAGUUGAGAGAGGAGAGCAAAAAAAUUACUUGGAUUUUGGUGUGUUUUUAAAAUAAAAUUGGUGAAGGUACAUCCAAAAAAUGAAACACUAACUCUUAAAUUUAUUUUUAGAAUUUAAUUUCAAAAUAAAAUAUGUAACUUUUAUUCACUUGUAACAACCUUUUAACUGUAUUUUGUUCCGUGCCUUUUAUGUUGAGUUUUCUAUUUGCUACUACUUCUCUAUUCAGUCCACACAGUUGUGUUGAAUCUCGUACUUCUUUCAAAGACAUUAGGCAUUGUUUCAAGUCAUUUUGCUCGCCAAACUUGAAAUUUUUUUUUCCUCUGUUUAUGAUGCUCCCUGUAUGAUAAGAGUGCAAAAUUGGGAACUUAUAUUUGUUUAAUUCAUAACAUCUCAAGAGCAUUACCGAAGAAAGAAAAAACAAGGAAAGCUGAAACCGGACAUCAUUGAUUAAGAUUCUGUGUACCAACUUAUUAGCAUGUCCAUAGUUUGCAUCAUUAUAUUAUUAAUCUUAAUUCUUAUUGUUGCUUGCAUUAUUUUCUUAUCAAAAAAAAAAAUUCUUACCUUCCAAGUCGCGAAAAAUUAACAUAUUAAUGCAUAAACAUUUUUUAAGUGAUCAAUUAAAUAUAAAUAUUAUAUUACUUAGCUGAAUAACAAAAAUAAAGAAGUAUCUAUAUUUCAAUUACAAAAACAUAUGUUAAAUUAAAGUUAAAUGAACUAUCUCAAAUAAACUAAAAGAAUACAUCUUUGCAUUUGAAAACAAACUUCAAUUCGUUCCCUCCAAAUAACUAUCUUUAAUUUACCCUCUAAAAGCAUGAAAAUCUCAAUCUACCCUAUUUGUUCUUCAAAAGAUGAGCAUAAUGAGGUGCACAUUGAUGAACUUUUAAAUCAUAUUCUUAGCAAUAAAUGUAGGUAAGUCUAGACAUUUUCAGGGGUUAAAUUAAAGUUUAACAUUAAAUUAAAUCGGACAGCUUAGUAAUAUAGGAUUUCGAUAAUGAGGGUUUAUUUUAUUAUUUUUCUUAGGAAUCAAUAAUCUCACCCUAAAAGUAGAUAGACUUAAAAUUUAAAUAUUACAAAUGGUACCAACAUAGUAAUGUUGAUUGGUUGAUAAUUGCUAUUAUUUAAAGAAACUGCUUUCUCAAAGAUUGAUUCGACGAUGCAUCUAUAAAAAAGCAGUAGGAGAUACACACACAAAAAACAUAUGACAUAAUAUUACCUAUGCAUAAUGGAUUAAUGUUUUAUUUUAUUAAAAACACAUAUUCAAUUUCACUAUAAUUGAUCGUUAUUGCAAAAGCACUCCUACAAGGUAAAAGAAAUAACUUAUUAACAAUAUCAUUUGCACCCCCCCUCAGGGCAGGGGUACCGAUAGUCUACAAGAGCUUUCUUAAUCGUCUCGAUCAAACACUCUUCACUUGUGAGCCCAGAGCAAUCAACAAUGUCAGGUGAUGCUGCAGGGUUAAUAGAAAAUAAAGCCUCUGGCUCAGAUCCUUGGCCAGUUCUACUGGCUGAAAUAAGCAUGUUUUUAGUGUUUGCCACUACAAGCAAAGCCAAAAUGAUGAAAGUAAGACUCUUCGACAUUUUUUAAUUUCUUAAGAGAAUUGCAAACGGCUUAAUUAGAAUUGAAAGAGAUGUGCAAGAAUCAGAAAGGCAUGAGCCUCAAUUUAUCUAAGUGAAUA